UAGACCUUUAAUAUAGUCCUGAGAGGCUAGCAAGGUAUCAUAUUUAGGCAAGCUGCAGAUUGUUGCAGUUUGAUUGCGCGUAGAUAUAUUACCUUCUAGCUCUCGAGUUGGAAGGCUUUUUAUU
rfam:Clostridiales bacterium GWB2_37_7 gwb2_scaffold_1884, whole genome shotgun sequence.